AUAAUACUUGUUUAUCCAGGCACAUGGAAUACCUAAAACACCAAAGCCAGGAAGUAUGCCUCAAUUCUGAGAGCAACACUGAGAUAUGUACUGCUGAGAGAUCACAUGAUGAUGUUGGUGGUGACCCAGAUGUACCACCCCUGAGAUAUGACAGCGUAUCUGAAGGAAGCCUAGAUUCUGAGAGCAACACUGAGAUAUGCACCCCUGAGAGUUCACAUGAUGAU